rnacentral:tRNA from 1 species
GGGCCCGUGGCCUAGCAUGGAAAGGCGCCGGCCUCCGGAGCCGGAGAACCCGGGUUCAAGUCCCGGCGGGCCCGCCA